rnacentral:rRNA from 1 species
UACGUAGGGUGCAAGCGUUGUCCGGAAUUAUUGGGCGUAAAGAGCUCGUAGGCGGUCUGUCACGUCGGCUGUGAAAACCCGAGGCUCAACCUCGGGCCUGCAGUCGAUACGGGCAAACUAGAGUACUGCAGGGGAGACUGGAAUUCCAGGUGUAGCGGUGAAAUGCGUAGAUAUCUGGAGGAACACCGGUGGCGAAGGCGGCGUUCUGGACUGCAACUGACGCUGAGGAGCGAAAGCGUGGGGAGCGAACAGG